rnacentral:rRNA from 1 species
GACGAACGCUGGCGGCGUGCUUAACACAUGCAAGUCGAACGGAAAGGCCCUGCUUUUGUGGGGUGCUCGAGUGGCGAACGGGUGAGUAACACGUGAGUAACCUGCCCUUGACUUUGGGAUAACUUCAGGAAACUGGGGCUAAUACCGGAUAGGAGCUCCUGCUGCAUGGUGGGGGUUGGAAAGUUUCGGCGGUUGGGGAUGGACUCGCGGCUUAUCAGCUUGUUGGUGGGGUAGUGGCUUACCAAGGCUUUGACGGGUAGCCGGCAUGAGAGGGUGACCGGCCUCAUUGGGACUGAGAUACGGCCCAGACGCCAACGGGAGGCAGCGGUGGGGAGUAUGGCACAAUGGGCGGAAGCGUGAUACAGCAGCGCCGCGUGCGGGAUGACGGCCUUCGGGUUGUAAACCGCUUUCGCCUGUGACGAAGCGUGAGUGACGGUAAUGGAUAAAGAAGCACCGGCUAACUACGUG